AUCUUCUUCCUGCCCUCGCCGUGGCGGGCGACGGUUUCUCGCGCCGUGGCUGGCUCGGCCGGCCGGGGCACCGCGCCGGGCUCCAUGCAGCCGGGCUGCGCGGUCCCGCAGAGCGGGCGCCUCCGGGGCUCGAGUCGGGGACCCGGCAGGAGCGGGCCGGGGAUGGCGGCGGCGGGCGGCGGGUCGGCCGUGGAGCCCCGGAGAGGCGGCCGCCACCACCGCUGCCCGCAGUCUGCGAGGUGUCCGGCGGUCCGCUCAGGGCCUCUUUUGCAGACUCGGUGCCCGGAGUGCGCCGGCGCCGCCCGCCAGGUCUUGGCACUGCUGGCGCGGCCGCGGCGGCGGGGGCCCGGCUCCAGAUCACCGACCCCCACGAGCGCCGGCCCUGCCUGCCCGCUAUUUUGGUUCCAUCUCUUCUGCAUAUUUAUGCUUGCCUGUUACAUUCCCUGGCCUCUGAGUGUCCUUUGGCAGUUUCCAAAGCAUUUGGGCAAGAAGGAGCUUGGGCAGCUUCACAACAGGUGGGGACGCGCAGGGGAGGGGCCGCGGCCGGACCGGCAGAGUUUCAAGGGCUGGCGCGCCGGCGGACUUUCCACACUGUCUUUCGGGACUGGGGUUAGGAGACAGCCCUUGGCCACCACUGUGUCCUUACUUUGUCGCUUUACUUGGGGCUGGACCUCCCCUUUCCAGCUCUGGCGUGUGACCCCGCAACGAGCGUGGUGUCGAGACCACCACCAGCUGGGGCGGUGGGAGCGAAGGUGCCCCAGGCUCGGGGAAGGUGGAAACCUUUUCCCCGCUCCCCAAGUGAUUGUUGCGCGCUCCGGUGAGGGGACAGUGGUACCUCGAUUUCCCGUGUGCCAGCUUCGGGACUCAGCUGUGCUUUUGUGUCUCUUUGAUUAGCAAAAGCAAAACGAAUUCCUCCCCGAACACUAAGCUUCCUGGAAACUUCCCUAGACCUAAACUUGAGAACCGCAUAUAAAUGGGCCUUGAGGGUUCUGUCGUCAGUAGCGGGUUACGUGAUUGCAAACGAGCAAGUUUAAAACGGAGUGGGCUUUGGGCUGCAGAGCCGCCUGGCAUUCUGACAGCUGAGCAGGAGGCAGAGGUGAGAGUCCAAGAUGGACUAAAAAUGUCCCAGCAGCUGGGAGCCCAACCUCGGCCCAACCUCGUUGAAAGGAGGAACAUUCGGUGCAGCCGUCGGAACCUUAUUAUUUAUGAAAGGGGACAGCUCACAGGAUUACAUUUUUCUAAGCCAAUCCUGUGACCAUCCUCCAUGAAAUUCUCUAUUUUGGUUGCAUGUGGUCAAAACUGAGCCUCACUGAAACAAUUGAAAACAAAUACUCCCGACAAAUCUUAAGAAUCGUUUUGAAAAUCAAAAGGUGGGGAAAAUGUUGUGGCUUCUGAGCUUUCUUCAGCCCAUAUUCUAUUAUUCUCUGAUGUUUUAUGGUGUAAAAUCAUACCCAUUCCAUUAUGUAUUGAUUGUCAAGAAGGAAGUAGGCUUUUAUUGCUAUUUUUAUGUCAGUUUCCAUUUACUGUCUCACCACAUUUAUUGGGUUAUUGCCUUUGCCUUUGACUCAACAGGAGCUGGAAGGGUAGGAAUCCCAAAUUCUGUUGCCUAAGGCAGCCAGUUGUCAGAAUGGACUUUCCUCAUUUUCUAUUAUGAGGCCUGAGGAAAGACAUUCAGUUCCAAAGGCUGUGCCUAUCCUUUUAAAUAGAAGAGAGAGGGCCCGGCACGGUGGCUCACGCCUGUAAUCCCAGCAGUUUGGGAGGCCGAAGGGGGCGAAUCACGAGGUCAGGAGUUCCAGACCAGCCUGGCCAACAUAGUGAAACCCCGUGUCUACUAAAGAUACAAAUAUUAGCCGGGCGUAAUGGCGGGCGCCUGUAUUCCCAGCUACUCGGGAGGCUGAGGCAGGAGAAUGGCUUGAAUCCGG
rnacentral:lncRNA from 1 species